GCGUUCGUAGCUCAACGGUAGAGCAUCGGCCUUUUAAGCCGGUGGUUGUGGAUUCGAAUUCCACCGGACGCACCA
rnacentral:tRNA from 1 species